ensembl:lncRNA
UGGACUGUGAGGCACUGAUCUUGUUUAUUGGUUGUUGGUUUUUUUCCAUUCUCUUUAUGCACAUCAGUCAAUGCCUCUGAUGUUCAUAUAUAUCCCAGUUCGACAUAUUUAAAUAACCAGAGAUAGGAUUCUCAUCAAUGUGUAUGCAUAAACAUUGUAUACUUUGAACAGCACCACAAUGAAAAAGUGUCUUUUUUAAAUAAUUUACAGUAAUAUUCUUCUAUAAAACAGGCAGACCCUUGAAGUACUACAAUUAACCAGAAAUAACUUCUAUGCAAGGGAAACGCAUAGAUGUGGUGGUUAGCACUGUUGCCUUACAGCAAGAAGGUCCUGGGCUCAGAUCCACUAUCUGGGUGUGGUCUGGAGUUUGCACGUUCUCCCUUAUUAGUAUGAGUUCACUUAAUGGUGUUAGUUUAACUGGUGAUUCUAAAUAGCCCAUAGAUGUGAAUGGUUGUCAGACUCGUGACCUCUUGAGGGUGUUCUCCUCCUCUCGUCCUAUGACAGCUGUGAUUGGCUCCAGUGGAUAAAUGGAAGAAAACGGAUAGUUAGCUUACAUGGAUUUUGCAUAACUGGUUUUCAGUCUCUGAUAUCAGAUUUCUGACAAGUUUGAACAAACUUUCAUGGAAAAUUCCAUCAGUUGCAAGCUGUCCAACAUUCCCGUGUUAAUUCCCACGUGUGCAUCUAUGCCAGGUUAAACAAAUGUGUAUGGAGUGUAUGUAUUUGUGGAAGUGCUCAUAUUUACUGUAGAUUGUUUAGCCUAAUGCUUUAAGACAUUGUGUGAGCUGUUUGUCCAUUUAUCAUAAAUGCAUACCUAAAAGAAAGGCUGGCAAGUGCAUAUUCCUUACAGUUCCUUACUAUUGCAGGUCUCUGAAUGCUUGAGCUAGCCAAGAUGACAGCAGAUAAAAAGUGAAAUAGCCAUGUCUAAAUUAGCUUACUAAAAUUACUUGAUGUUUACCAGCUGCUGAAAAAAGUCAAAAUUCCAGUUAACUGAGUUAUUCCACUUAAAAUAGGUGAAGCUAUGGCUGUUGCAAAGGCUACAGUUGACCUAUUUUUGGUGACUAUAUUUUCCCGUAUAAAAUAAAUUUGAGCUGCCCAACGUUUCUCAAACACUCAACUUCCUCCAUUUUGAGACUACACAAGGUUAACCACUACAUAUGACCUCACCUAUCGACUUUCUCUGCCUCACAAAGGGUAACAAGUCAACAAAAUUCCAGCUCUGUCUCAUCGUAAUCUCACAGCAACAACAGCUGCUGGUCCUAAAACUAGAUUACUCAGUCACACAGAGUCUUGUAAACAGAGCUUCAACAACAAGAAUGAGCCCAGCUCCGCCGUAUCAGUCAGCAGACGUCUGCCUCCAGCUGCCAAUCUCCACUUCAGGGACUUUGUGAUGCAAUAUCAGAAAGCUUGUUUCCCCGGGAGACAGUAGCAGAAUUAGUCAGCUGCUAAAUGCUAGCGAGUGGUAUAACCAUAAAAGUGUACAUCAUUCGUCUUUAUUGUCCAAGGAUAAACCCAAACAAUGGCUAAUCUCUAUUGACAGGAAGGCCUUGUCAUGUUUUCAGGGUUGGCAAAGGUAAAGAGUGGGCCCAUGUCUAUCAGCCCUCACUGCCUUGUUAUAAAAAUAACCAAUGACAGUGUUCAUUUCAUCCUGCCCCUCUGUCUUGCCCUGCCACUCGACACCCACUGGAUAUUCCAAUGUGAGCAAGCUAGCUGGGCCCUCUGUUGCUGCUCAGUUUGGCCACACCGACUUGUGCGUCUAUUUUGGUAUCAUUUGAGUUCACAAUCAGAAGCCUGGCGACACCAGCGCAUUCGAACAUGGAUCUCAGGGCUUGACUCACUUUGGUGAGCUU